rnacentral:snRNA from 1 species
AUACUUACCUGGCAGGGGAGAUACCAUGAUCACGAAGGUGGUUUUCCCAGGGCAAGUUUUAUCCAUUGCACUCCGGAUGUGCUGACUCCUGUGAUUUCCCUAAAUGUGGGAAACCUGACUGCAUAAUUUGUGGUAGUGAGGGACAUUUAUUUAUUUUCAUGGCCCAUG